GAUGACGUAGUUUAUAAAGAAUGGUCUCUCUGCAAGAGACUGGUAGGGUUUCUCGUUGUUG
rnacentral:tRNA from 1 species